UACAGAGGUCUCGAGCGUUGUUCGGAUUCAUUGGGCGUAAAGGGUGCGUAGGUGGCGGGGUAAGUCAGGUGUGAAAUCCCGGGGCUCAACCCCGGAACUGCAUGUGAUACUGCCUUGCUCGAGUACUGGAGAGGAGACUGGAAUUUACGGUGUAGCAGUGAAAUGCGUAGAUAUCGUAAGGAAGACCAGUGGCGAAGGCGAGUCUCUGGACAGUUACUGACACUGAGGCACGAAGGCCAGGGGAGCAAAAGGG
rnacentral:rRNA from 1 species